UAGGUAUAAUCAUAAAACAUUGAACAUAGCAGUUAUCACCGUUAUUAUUAUGAUAAUCGCGUCAUCGCCAUUUGGUUGUUCUAUAUUUAGAACAUGCAGUAAAUCAAUGUGGUGCGAAAAUAAUCCAAUCGAAUAUUAAUGAAAAAUAUAUUUUGUUAAUUUUUAAUUGCUAGCGCCAAUAUAAACUAUCGAAAAUCUGGUUUAGCUUAUUGAAAACCCAUACAAUUACCGGCAACAGUUUGUAAAAACUAAUCAUUUUCGUAUCAAUAUCGGAAAAAUAAAAACCAAUCCCUUGGAAAGCAUUUUAUCUCCGAUUUAUUAUCACCGCUGAAGCGUUAUCUAAAUUUAUUGCUUCAAUUCCCAUGCAGUGUCAAAAGAGCGAUGGAAAAAAUCGUCCCAAUUAGAACAACAUAACACACUAAAAGGUAUGUUUGAAAUGGGCCAAAGGCAUUCGAAGCGUCCUAAAAUCCUCCCGUCCCAGCCAGAAGUAACCGAAAUCUUUGAACUGAACGACAACCAGAGCGAGCUGGAUAACAGCAGCGAAGUCGAGAUAUUUCCAGUCGAAUUAAAGAAUAUGAUGGAUGCUUUGGAAUCUAUUGAACGUACCAUCGAAUCCAUGACUAUGUCUCAAAUCGAUCUCUACUACGCUACUUUGAAAGACGACUUGCACAAUCAUUGGCAAAAAGCUUACGACUUCAUGGACCACGGCAACGAGGCCGCCAAGAAAAAGAAGAUCGAAGUGAUUGAUCGGGCGAGGAGAACGCUAAAACGACUCAACGAGAAAGUUCUAAUAAAACGCCAAGUUGUGUAUUAUUAAUAAAUUGAAUAAAACGUAUCUCUAGUUCCG